rnacentral:rRNA from 1 species
AUACGGAGGGUGCAAGCGUUAAUCGGAAUUACUGGGCGUAAAGCGUACGUAGGCGGUCCGUUAAGUUAGAUGUGAAAGCCCCGGGCUUAACCUGGGAACUGCAUUUAAAACUGGCGGACUAGAGUUGAGUAGAGGGGAGUGGAAUUUCAGGUGUAGCGGUGAAAUGCGUAGAGAUCUGAAGGAACACCAGUGGCGAAGGCGACUCCCUGGACUCGAACUGACGCUGAGGUACGAAAGCGUGGGUAGCAAACGGAAUUAGAAACCCUAGUAGUCC